CAGGCCCGGUUGGAUUGUGAAGAUGCUUUAGACACAGACACGCCCAGCCUGAGACCUGCUGGUCUGGUAGUUUCAGUAAGACACUCAUAACAGAUACGUAGAGCCAUACACAGAGACUUCCCUGUUCACUUACAGACUGCUGCUGCUGAGUUUGACGGCAGAGAAAAUGAAAGCUCGGACUGUGUUCCUGCUCUUUGCUCUUGUGGCUGUGCUUCAAGCGAUGCCAACUGUUCCCAAUGGGGACCGUAAAGUUAUUCCAGAGGAUGUGGCCAUACAGGAAAUCAUGGAGGCUGAUUUUGUGUGGCCAGACACAACAACAACAAUGACAUCCCCGAGGACAUGAAAAGGAAGACGGCCAUCCAUUAGAGGAAAGGGGAGCAAACUGUUUAAGCCAAAAGAUGAUGAAUAAAUAAACACUGAAAUAA